rnacentral:rRNA from 1 species
CCUACGGGUGGCAGCAGUAAGGAAUAUUGGUCAAUGGUUUAACAACUGAACCAGCGACGCCGCGUGUGGGAUGAAGGGGCUCUGCCUUGUAAACCACUGUCGGAUGGGACGAAAAGCGAGCUCCGCUCGCCCAGACGGUACCAUCAAAGGAAGGGUCGGCUAACUACGUGCCAGCAGCCGCGGUAAUACGUAGGACCCGAGCGUUGUCCGGAUUUACUGGGUGUAAAGGGUGCGUAGGCGGACAGGUGCGUCAGAGGUGAAAUUUCCCGGCUUAACUGGGAGGGUGCCUUUGAUACGGCUUGUCUUGAGUGCGAAAGAGGAUGAUGGAAUUCCUGGUGUAGCGGUGAAAUGCGUAGAUAUCAGGAGGAACACCAGUGGCGAAGGCGGUCAUCUGGUUCGCAACUGACGCUGAGGCACGAAAGCGUGGGGAUCAAACAGGAUUAGAUACCCCAGUAGUC